AGGAUUAACGCUGGCGGCGUGCAUGAAACAUGCAAGUCGAGCGCGGUGUGAUGCGGGGUAACCCAAUUCACAUCUAGCGGCGAACGGGUGAGUAACACGUGAGCAACCUACCUUUGAGUUGGGGAUAGCCCUGGGAAACCAGGAUUAAUACCCGAUGUGGUCACAACAGGACAUCCUGAUGUGAGUAAAGGCGCAAGCCGCUCAAUGACGGGCUCGCGGCCUAUUAGCUUGUUGGUGGGGUAACGGCCUACCAAGGCGAUGAUGGGUAGCUGGUCUGAGAGGACGAUCAGCCACACUGGGACUGAGACACGGCCCAGACUCCUACGGGAGGCAGCAGUUAGGAAUUUUCCGCAAUGGGCGAAAGCCUGACGGAGCAACGCCGCGUGAGUGAUGAAGACCUUAGGGUUGUAAAGCUCUGUCGGAGGGAAGAACACAAUGACGGUACCUCCAAGAAAGCCCGGCUAACUACGCGCCAGCAGCCGCGGUAAU
rnacentral:rRNA from 1 species